GACGAACGCUGGCGGCGUGCUUAACACAUGCAAGUCGAACGAAGAGCGACGGAAGCUUGCUUCUAUCAAUCUUAGUGGCGAACGGGUGAGUAACGCGUAAUCAACCUGCCCUUCAGAGGGGGACAACAGUUGGAAACGACUGCUAAUACCGCAUACGAUCUAACCUCGGCAUCGAGGAUAGAUGAAAGGUGGCCUCUACAUGUAAGCUAUCACUGAAGGAGGGGAUUGCGUCUGAUUAGCUAGUUGGAGGGGUAACGGCCCACCAAGGCGAUGAUCAGUGGCCGGUCUGAGAGGAUGAACGGCCACAUUGGGACUGAGACACGGCCCAGACUCCUACGGGAGGCAGCAGUGGGGAAUCUUCCGCAAUGGACGAAAGUCUGACGGAGCAACGCCGCGUGAGUGAUGACGGCCUUCGGGUUGUAAAGCUCUGUUAAUCGGGACGAAAGGCCUUCUUGCGAAUAGUGAGAAGGAUUGACGGUACCGGAAUAGAAAGCCACGGCUAACUACGUG
rnacentral:rRNA from 1 species